rnacentral:sRNA from 1 species
UACGACGAAGCCACGCCGGUAUACCGGUACA